rnacentral:rRNA from 1 species
AGUGAACGCUGGCGGUAGGCCUAACACAUGCAAGUCGAACGGCAGCACAGUAAGAGCUUGCUCUUACGGGUGGCGAGUGGCGGACGGGUGAGGAAUACAUCGGAAUCUACUUUUUCGUGGGGGAUAACGUAGGGAAACUUACGCUAAUACCGCAUACGACCUACGGGUGAAAGCAGGGGAUCUUCGGACCUUGCGCGAUUGAAUGAGCCGAUGUCGGAUUAGCUAGUUGGCGGGGCAAAGGCCCACCAAGGCGACGAUCCGUAGCUGGUCCGAGAGGAUGAUCAGCCACACUGGAACUGAGACACGGUCCAGACUCCUACGGGAGGCAGCAGUGGGGAAUAUUGGACAAUGGGCGCAAGCCUGAUCCAGCCAUACCGCGUGGGUGAAGAAGGCCUUCGGGUUGUAAAGCCCUUUUGUUGGGAAAGAAAAGCAGCAGGUUAAUACCCCGCUGUUCUGACGGUACCCAAAGAAUAAGCACCGGCUAACUUCGUG